rnacentral:rRNA from 1 species
GAAUUCGAUUAACGCGAAGAACCUUACCUGGGCUCGAAAUGCAGUGGACCGGGGUAGAAAUAUCCCUUUCCGCAAGGACUGCUGCAUAGGUGCUGCAUGGCUGUCGUCAGCUCGUGUCGUGAGAUGUUGGGUUAAGUCCCGCAACGAGCGCAACCCUUAUCCCUAGUUGCCACCGGGUCAAGCCGGGCACUCUAGUGAGACCGCCCCGGAUAACGGGGAGGAAGGUGGGGAUGACGUCAAGUCCUCAUGGCCUUUAUGUCCAGGGCUACACACGUGCUACAAUGGUCGGUACAAACCGUCGCAAACCCGUGAGGGGGAGCUAAUCGGAAAAAGCCGGCCUCAGUUCGGAUUGGAGUCUGCAACUCGACUCCAUGAAGCUGGAAUCGCUAGUAAUCGCGGAUCAGAACGCCGCGGUGAAUACGUUCCCGGGCCUUGUCACACCGAAUCACUA